rnacentral:rRNA from 1 species
ACGCUGGCGGCAGACCUAACACAUGCAAGUCGAGCGGUAGCACAAGAGAGCUUGCUCUCUAGGUGACAAGCGGCAGACGGGUGAGUAAUGUCUGGGAAACUACCUGAUGGUGGGGGAUAACUAGUGGAAACGGUAGCUAAUACCGCAUAAUGUCGCAAGACCAAAGUGGGGGACCUUCGGGCCUCACGCCAUCAGAUGUGCCCAGAUGGGAUUAGCUAAUAGGUGGGGUAAUGGCCCACCUAGGCGACGAUCCCUAGCUGGUCUGAGAGGAUGACCAGCCACACUGGAACUGAGACACGGUCCAGACUCCUACGGGAGGCAGCAGUGGGGAAUAUUGCACAAUGGGCGCAAGCCUGAUGCAGUCAUGCCGCGUGUGUGAAGAAGGCCUUCGGGUUGUAAAGCACUUUCAGCAAGGAGGAAGGGUAAUGUGUUAAUAAGACAUUACAUUGACGUUACUUGCAGAAGAAGCACCGGCUAACUCCGUGCCAGCAGCCGCGGUAAUACGGAGGGUGCAAGCGUUAAUCGGAAUUACUGGGCGUAAAGCGCACGUAGGUGGUUUGUUAAGUCAGAUGUGAAAUCCCUGCGCUUAACGUGGGAAUGGCAUUUGAGACUGGCAAGCUAGAGUCUUGUAGAGGGGGGUAGAAUUCCAGGUGUAGCGGUGAAAUGCGUAGAGAUCUGGAGGAAUACCAGUGGCGAAGGCGGCCCCCUGGACAAAGACUGACACUCAGGUGCGAAAGCGUGGGGAGCAAACAGGAUUAGAUACCCUGGUAGUCCAUGCUGUAAACGAUGUCAAUUUGGAGGUUGCACCCUCGAGGGGUAGCUUCCGUAGCUAACGCGUUAAAUCGACCGCCUGGGGAGUACGGCCGCAAGGUUAAAACUCAAAUGAAUUGACGGGGGCCCGCGCAAGCGGUGGAGCAUGUGGUUUAAUUCGAUGCAACCCGAAGAACCUUACCUACUCUUGACAUCCAGAGAACCUUCCAGAGAUGGAAGGAUGCCUUCGGGAGCUCUGAGACAGGUGCUGCAUGGCUGUCGUCAGCUCGUGUUGUGAAAUGUUGGGUUAAGUCCCGCAACGAGCGCAACCCUUAUCCUUUGUUGCCAGCGAUAAAGUCGGGAACUCAAAGGAGACUGCCAGUGAUAAACUGGAGGAAGGUGGGGAUGACGUCAAGUCAUCAUGGCCCUCACGAGUAGGGCUACACACGUGCUACAAUGGCGUAUACAAAGAGAAGCGACCUCGCGAGAGCAAGCGGACCUCACAAAGUACGUCGUAGUCCGGAUUGGAGUCUGCAACUCGACUCCAUGAAGUCGGAAUCGCUAGUAAUCGUAGAUCAGAAUGCUGCGGUGAAUACGUUCCCGGGCCUUGUACACACCGCCCGUCACACCAUGGGAGUGGGUUGCAAAAGAAGUAGGUAGCUUAACCUUCGGGAGGGCGCUUACCACUUUGUGAUUCAU